rnacentral:rRNA from 1 species
AGAGUUUCGAGUCCCUGGCCGUCGAGGACGAACGCUGGACGGCGUGCUUAACACAUGCAAGUCGAACGGAGCACCCUUGAAAGAGUUUUCGGACAAUGGAGAGGAAUGCUUAGUGGCGGACUGGUGAGUAACGCGUGAGGAACCUGCCUUCCGAGAGGGGGACAACAGUUGGAAACGACUGCUAAUACCGCAAUGACACAUUUGAAUCGCAUGGUUUGAAUGUCAAAGAUUUAUCGCUGGAAGAUGGCCUCGCGUCUGAUUAGCUAGUAGCGGGGUAACGGCCCACCUAGGCGACGAUCAGUAGCCGGACUGAGAGGUUGACCGGCCACAUUGGGACUGAGGAUACGGCCCAGACUCCUACGGGAGGCAGCAGUGGGGAAUAUUGGGCAAUGGGCGCAAGCCUGACCCAGCAACGCCGCGUGAAGGAAGAAGGCUUUCGGGUUGUAAACUUCUUUUAAGAGGGAAGAGCAGAAGACGGUACCUCUUGAAUAAGCCACGGCUAACUACGUG